AGAGUUUGAUCAUGGCUCAGAACGUACGCUGGCGGCACGCCUAACACAUGCAAGUCGAACGCAGUAGCAAUACUGAGUGGCAAACGGGUGAGUAUAAUGUGGGAAUCUGCCUUUUGGUUUGGAAUAACACGGGGAAACUUGUGCUAAUACCGAAUAAGCCCUUACGGGGAAAGUUUUAAUGCCGAAAGAUGAGCCCGCACUUGAUUAGCUAGUUGGUAAGGUAAAAGCUUACCAAGGCAACGAUCAAUAGCUGUUCUUAGAGGAAGACCAGCCACAUUGGGACUGAGACACGGCCCAGACUCCUACGGGAGGCAGCAGUGGGGAAUCUUGCACAAUGGGGGAAACCCUGAUGCAGCGAUGCCGCGUGAGUGAAGAAGGCCCUUGGGUUGUAAAACUCUUUCGUCGGGGAAGAAAAUGACUGUACCCGAAUAAGAAGGUCCGGCUAACUUCGUGCCAGCAGCCGCGGUAAUACGAAGGGACCUAGCGUAGUUCGGAAUUACUGGGCUUAAAGAGCUCGUAGGUGGUUAAAAAAGUUGAUGGUGAAAUCCCAAGGCUUAACCUUGGAACUGCCAUCAAAACUUUUUAGCUAGAGUGUGAUAGAGGUAAGUGGAAUUUCUAGUGUAGAGGUGAAAUUCGUAGAUAUUAGAAAGAACACCAAAUGCGAAGGCAACUUACUGGGUCACUACUGACACUGAGGAGCGAAAGCAUGGGUAGCGAAGAGGAUUAGAUACCCUCGUAGUCCAUGCCGUAAACGAUGUGUGCUAGACGUUGGAAAUAUAUUUUUCAGUGUCGCAGCGAAAGCAUUAAGCACACCGCCUGGGGAGUACGACCGCAAGGUUAAAACUCAAAUGAAUUGACGGGGACCCGCACAAGCAGUGGAGCAUGUGGUUUAAUUCGAAGAUACGCGCAGAACCUUACCAACGCUUGACAUGUUCGUCGCGAGAUUAAGAGAUUAAUCUUUUCAGUUUGGCUGGACGAAACACAGGUGCUGCAUGGCUGUCGUCAGCU
rnacentral:rRNA from 1 species